GCUGGGUUUGGUGGCGCAUGCCUAUAAUCCCAGCAGCUGGGGAGACUGAGGCAGGAGGAUCAUGAGUUCAAAGCCAGCCUCAGCAAACAUGAGGCACUAAGCAACUCAGUGAGACCCUGUCUCUA
rnacentral:sRNA from 1 species